AGAGUUUGAUCCUGGCUCAGAACGAACGCUGGCGGCAGGCCUAACACAUGCAAGUCGAGCGCCCCGCAAGGGGAGCGGCGGACGGGUGAGUAACACGUGGGAAUUUUCCUCAAGGUACGGAACAACUCAGGGAAACUUGGGCUAAUACCGUAUGAUGCAGAGAUGCCAAAGAUUUAUCGCCUUGGGAUAGGCCCGCGUCAGAUUAGGUAGUUGGUGAGGUAACGGCUCACCAAGCCUGUGAUCUGUAGCUGGUCUGAGAGGACGAUCAGCCACAUUGGGACUGAGACACGGCCCAAACUCCUACGGGAGGCAGCAGUGGGGAAUCUUGCGCAAUGGGCGAAAGCCUGACGCAGCCAUGCCGCGUGAAUGAUGAAGGUCUUAGGAUUGUAAAGUUCUUUCGCCUGUGACGAUGAUGACGGUAACAGGAGAAGAAGCCCCGGCUAACUUCGUGCCAGCAGCCGCGGUAAUACGAAGGGGGCUAGCGUUGUUCGGAAUUACUGGGCGUAAAGCGCGCGUAGGCGGCUUUGCAAGCCAGAGGUGAAAUGCCUGAGCUCAACUUAGGAAUUGCCUUUGGGACUGCGAGGCUUCGAGGACUGGAGAGGUGAGUGGAAUUCCCAGUGUAGAGGUGAAAUUCGUAGAUAUUGGGAGGAACACCGGUGGCGAAGGCGGCUGCCUGGACCGAUACUGACGCUGAGACGCGAAAGCGUGGGGAGCAAACAGGAUUAGAUACCCUGGUAGUCAAGG
rnacentral:rRNA from 1 species